rnacentral:lncRNA from 1 species
CCUGUUACUCAAAACACAUGGUAAACAUAUGGUGAAACGCAUGUUUACCAUACGUUUUCAAAAACACCUGGUAAACAUGCGUUGCAAUUUUUGCUGUGUAGAAAUAACAAAUAUUCCGUUUAAACUUCUCAAAUGAUACAUCAUUGUCUUAAAUUGUCGAUUUCUCUUUGUAUAUUUCUGGCAUUAACUGUUGAGUCUAUUUUCUGAAAUACUUUUAGCGUCGUUCAGU